AUAUCCAAAUAGAGGAGGAUAAAAUAGAGCCCAUGCAGACAGAGAGUCCACAGUACAUGUCCACAUGGACUUGGGUAAGUAUUAUUUUGAAAAUUCAAAAUUGUUUAAACAGACAAUGCACUGCAGUUUUCGAAAAAAUAUAUACUAACAAAUUGCCAUUCUGUGAUAUCAGGCUUACAUGCAAAGCUUCCUAGAGCCAUCUUGGCACAGGUUCCUGUAUGAACCCUUACUUGAAAAACUCGGGAAAUGCAAUGUUCUUUUCUUCCCAAUUAUUUCACAAGAAGAGUUCCACUUCACACUUCUCACAUUUCACAAAAAUGAACGAAAGUGGAGACACUACAAUCCACUUAGAUCGUUGGGACGUAGAAAAGAAGAAAGGUGCAUUGACAUUGCUCGAAACUUUGUUAAUAUUGUUGAAGGGUGGCUAGAAUAUAUAAGACCUCAAGCACGAGUGUUCAUAGAAAC